rnacentral:rRNA from 1 species
CAGCAGCCGCGGUAACACGGAGGGUGCAAGCGUUAAUCGGAAUUACUGGGCGUAAAGCGUGCGUAGGCGGUUCGUUAAGUCUGUUGUGAAAGCCCCGGGCUCAACCUGGGAAUGGCAAUGGAUACUGGCGAGCUAGAGUGUGUCAGAGGAUGGUGGAAUUCCCGGUGUAGCGGUGAAAUGCGUAGAGAUCGGGAGGGACAUCAGUGGCGAAGGCGGCCAUCUGGGACAACACUGACGCUGAGGCACGAAAGCGUGGGGAGCAAGCAGGAUUAGAUACCCCAGUAGUCCCUGUCUCUUAUAC